GGUAGACUCAAGUUCUGACUCUAGGGACAGAGAUCUGUUGAAGCAAGAUCUGACAUUUUGCCCUAAAAGUGUAAAGGAGUUUUUGAGAUUCCAAAUGCUUUUACUUGAAAUGUUCUCAGCUUCCUCAGAACAGAUGGGUCUCGCCAAAAACAGAGCCAAAGCAGGCUGCCGGUGUAACUCAUCCCUUUUAAUACGCAGCUAGACAGUAUUCUUGUGAAUACAUGAACUACAUCAGGAGUCAGAGAAGCACAAGAAAUACAGUGAAAGGGCUUUCAGAGAUGAAUUCACAGUUUCCUGCUCAGACUUGGUCCUUACCAGAUGGAAUUUGGGGUUCCAGGAGAAGGGCAAGUCCCCAGGAGCACAGAAAGGCAGAGCUUCUGCUGGCUGCCCAUUGCCUUUUCCACUACAAUCACAGCAAAAGACAAGAGACAUGCAGCAUCCAUCAGGAGAUGCCUCUCCCCAGGACAGCCCUGGAGCAGCCAACAACCCCCUAUCGACCGCUGCCUAAACACAUAGCUGGUGAACAGAGCGCCUCUUGAGGAACAUGAGAAGGAUGCAGACCUGACAGCGCAGACUUCACCGUCACCUUGUCUUUUCGUAUUUUCCCCAUCUGCUCUUAUGUUGAACAGUUCCUGUUUGACAUGAGGGUAAUGUUUGUGAGUGUGAUCUGGCAGCCUUGCAGAUUCAAAAUGCAUCUCAAAUAAUUUUUCUCCAGGGUUAGUAUUCUUUAUUUUCCUUGUUGCUUUCAUGUGCUUUUCUUGGGAAU